CAGUAGCCGCGGUAAUACGAAGGGUGCAAGCGUUACUCGGAAUUACUGGGCGUAAAGCGUGCGUAGGUGGUUGUUUAAGUCUGCUGUGAAAGCCCUGGGCUCAACCUGGGAAUUGCAGUGGAUACUGGGCGACUAGAGUAAGGUAGAGGAUAGUGGAAUUUCCGGUGUAGCAGUGAAAUGCGUAGAGAUCGGAGGGAACAUCUGUGGCGAAGGCGACUAUCUGGGCCAUUACUGACACUGAGGCACGAAAGCGUGGGGAGCAAACAGGAUUAGAUACCCGGGUAGUCCCUGUCUCUUAUAC
rnacentral:rRNA from 1 species